rnacentral:rRNA from 1 species
ACAGAGAACGCCGCCCUCACGGGUGACUCUCCAACCCUAUGUUUAAUACACCUUUGUUGCUUUGGCGGGCCGCUUCGGCCACCGGCCCACGCUGGUGAGCGCCCGCCAGAGGACCCCCAACUCUGAGUUACAGUAUCGUCUGAGCACUAUUUAAUAGUUAAAACUUUCAACAACGGAUCUCUUGGUUCUGGCAUCGAUGAAGAACGCAGCGAAAUGCGAUAAGUAAUGUGAAUUGCAGAAUUCAGUGAAUCAUCGAAUCUUUGAACGCACAUUGCGCCCUGUGGUAUUCCGCAGGGCAUGCCUGUUCGAGCGUCAGUACAACACUCAAGCUCUGCUUGGCCUUGAGCCCCGCCGGCAACGGCAGGCUUUAAACUCAGUGGCGGCGCCCGUCGGGUCCUAAGCGUAGUAAUACUCCUCGCUAUAGGGCUCUGGCGGAUGCUGGCAGCAACCCCAAACUUCUCAAGUUUGACCUCGGAUCAGGUAGGGAUACCCGCUGAACUUAA